AGGGUUAAAAAUGGGAUUUCACCCUACAACUCAUCGGCCGUUGUUGAACAUCAAUCGCCAAUCUUUAAUGCGACCUUUGGGUACUCCGCAGUUCCCAUCUCCCCUAUAACCUGAUUUUUGAUUCUUAGAGAUUCCAUCAAUAGCGAUGAAUCUCAUCUUCUCCCUAACCUGUUUUUUAAAUUCUUACCUCAAUCGACCAUAUCUCAUGACAUGGGAACUGCUGAGUUCAAAAAAUCUAUGGUUCGUUGUCAGAAUUACAAGGUGAAAACGAAGAUUCAAGUUUAUUUGAGAUCCACCUAUGAAGAUUCAGAAACAGAUUUGAUUACAAAACCCUAAAAUCAAUCAAGUUGAAGGCUUUAAUCUUGAAUUGGAGAAUUAGAAUGGAGAAAAAGUGAAGCUGGGUACUGAAGACGACCAACGUUGUUGGUCUUUGGAAGAAGAGGGGAUCUUACUCAUUAGAGAAGUAAACAAAUGUUCAGGUUUGUAAGCUUCUUUCCUCCAACAAAUUGAUUGGCGAUUUGUAGAUUGCUAAUUGUAUGCUUUACUUAAUAAUUUUUACAAACCUGUUCACUUGGUGGUCCGAUGAGUAACGGCCCGCCAGCGUUUGGACCGCCACGUGGUGUGCAAGGUGAUCCUCAAUAUCCUUCAGGUGGAGUUAUGCCAAGACCUUCGACUGGACCUCUAUCUCCGACACAAACCAUGGCGUCGUUUCUUGGAGGUCUUUUUGAUAAUCAGCUAAGAGGGCCUACACAAGUGGCGCCACCCCUGUUUUCAGCACCUCCGAGAGGUGGCAUGCAGUUGCCUUCAGGGCCGCCAUUGUUUUCGGCUUCGGGACAAGGUAUACCGCAACCGUCUUCAGGGCCACCGAUGUUUUCAGCUCCGAGACAGGGUUUACCGCAACCAUCUGGUCCGCAAUUUGGGGCUCAACCGUGGCAAAUGCAACCAAGACAAAAUGUACCACCUCUUCCAAUUUAUGGUUCUGCACAACCACCGAGAACAUAUGGCAUGGCUCCGCCUCUUUCUAAUCAACAAGCUAUGGCUACAAUUUCACCUGCAGCAUGCCCCAUUGGAAAUGCGGUUUCAGGCCCAUCAAAAAUCUAUCCAAACCAAAUUCCAUGACCCGUUCCAAGUUCUUCAGUCCUUCUACAUCUUUCUUUAUUUCUACUAUUUCUUUAUUAUUCACAGUUUUCCAUAUGUGUGUUUAUACUGUCUUAUGACAUGUUAUGAUGUGAAGCCUGCUACAAGCGAAUUUAUUUUACGGGAUACCGGAAAUUGCAGUCCUCGCUACAUGAGGAGCACCAUUAAUCAGAUCCCUUGCACUUCUGAUCUUUUGAACUCAUCUGGCGUGUAACUGGCUCUGUUGGUCCAGCCCUUGGCCCCACCUCAUCCGUCCGAAGAGCCUAUCCACAUAGUUGAUUUUGGUGAAGGAGGUCUCGUUCGUUGUUCACAUUACAAAGGCUACAUCAAUCCGUUUAUGAAGUUUGUUGAUCAAGGAGGACGUUUUAUCUGUAAUUUCUGUGGCAAACUGGUGCAACCGCAGGAGCAUGCAGUGCUAUUAGCUGCAGGACGUUUUAUCUGUAAUUAAACAUGGGUUGUAAUUGUUGGUGAGAUGGGAGUGAAGAAUGAUCGUUAGAGUUGGUUGGUUGGUGGGCUGCACCUUCAAUUGUUGCAUCUCACUUUGUAACAAGUGGUGUUACUGUUGCUACAACCAUUGGCAUAUCACAUCCAUAAGGUUUCAUCUUUCGGUUAUUAAUAGCGUUAUUUUUAUUAUUAUUUUCCUGUUUGGAUGCACAGAUAUAUGUUAUUUGUUGUGUUAUAAUGAAACAAUUUAGUAGAUUGUGGUUUUGUAGUCAAAGGUGCCCAGGAGGGUACAAAAAGCACCUGAACUGAACUGAAUAAAAGCAACUAAAAAGUUAAUGAACAUACUUUUGCAGUUGUUAUCUUUGAGAGCUA